AACGCCCCUGGCACUGAAACGCCUUGUGCUUGUGGCUCCUCGCUGCUCUUGGGUGCACUGCUCCUCCUCCUCCUCUUCCUCCCAAGAGACUCCUAAACUGAGGCUUCAUGGAAAUAAUGAAGUUACUGCAUUGAUGGGGGUUGUUUCAGGGUGAAAUUCUGGGGAACUUAAGGCCACAGUGUAAACUUCUUGUAUUGAAGUAAUCAAAGACUAAAUUAGAGUAUUUCAUCUGAGCUGUUUUGAAAGAAGUGUUUUAUCAGAGAUCAUACUGUCCCUGUACUGAGCUCAUACCAGAGCUCAGGAGGUGGCUUUGAAGCUUGAGCUUCCACUGCUCUGCCAGUAGAGAAACACAGGAGAUCUUGGAGAAAUAAAUUCCAGAGAUGUUGUCUCAGGAGUUGGACUGCAACUUGUAACUGAAUUAAAUAUCCGAAAAGGGAAUUUUAAUGUGGAAAUCCAGUCCUGUCCCAGGGAACUGUGGCUGUCCUAUUCUCAUUGGCUGCUACCAUGUCCUUUCUGUUUUGAUGAACAGAACUAUCAUAUUUAAAAUUGCAGCAAGAACUUUUAAGACUUGUUCAACUGGCUUGGUUUAGCUUCAACAGCUGACAUCUGAGAAUUGUGUACAUUAGGAUUCUUCAGAAAAAACCCUGAAACAAAACAUGUCAUGCUUUUCAUCUUUUCAUUUUACAGGAUGAUGAGAGGGAGGGAUAGGGCAUGUGCCUUGCAUGUGUAAAGUGCUUUGCUUUCCAAAGGAGAGCUGGUUGGUAGUUAGAGGUAGUCUGACUCUUCUGAGUGGUGCAGAACCAAUCCUUUCACUCAGUCCAUCUGAAAAUUGAGUUUCCCACAGAUCUCUGAAGCUCCUGAAUGGACUGCAGAGAGUCAGCUGAUGUCUGUGAGCUUCUUGUGUAGUAGCAGGUAUCCUUUGGAGCCUGCUGUUCCCUUGCAGUAGUUCUGAGUUCUGGAGCAUCUUCAGUAGGAAACAGGGUGUCACACUGGAAAUUUAGCUGAUGAGUUGCUGUGGGGCAGGCAGGGAAGUGACUCAGCUCCCUGACCUACAGACCAGAGCUAAACCUAGGUACAAGAGGAAGUGCUAGGUGAUGAGAUAAAGGUGUUUCUGGAAUAAGGGGUGAUUCUUUUUUUGUUCUUCUUUGUUUCUGUUGUUGUCUUUCUUUUUUGUUUUCCUUUCCACGGUCCUCCUCAACAGUUUAAAAUAGUUUAAAGACAAACAGCUCUGGGCACGUUCUUCAGAGGUGCUGUAACCACUGCAUUUAAAUACACUGCUUCAAGAUGUGGUAGGAAACAGCUACCUCAGUGCUGUAUUGUCUUCCUGAGUGAAGUGCAAACCUCGAAAUGACAGCCCUCCUCUUUGCCCUUUCACAUUGCAGAAUGGUUAACAACGACUUAAUUCACUCUCUUAACCAAAUAUUUUUCUUAUGUAGCAUCUAGUGAGUUUGAUUAUUGGGAGUUUGCUCUGGGUUUUUUUUCAGCUGAGUUGUGCUUGCGUGGGGGAGCAAGCUUGUGACUUCAAAAAGUGAAGUGAAACAGGACAACUUAGACCUUUUUGUUCUUUGUGGUGUUUCUUCCUCCUUGGUAGUAUUUUGGUUCAGCAGCAGUUGUUAGAAUGUGUAAGUCUGAAUUCCACCUCUCAAUGAAUCUUAAGACAGUAGCUACCCCUGUAGUGUGGGUCGAGUUUAAUAUUGCAUAAACUUGUCAGUACAGUUGCAGAUUGGAAUCAAAUAUUAAUAUAUUAUCUCUUGCUUUUAGUGUUUGCCUGCCAUUGCAUCCCUCAGACUUUUCUGUGUGGCUGCCUUGGUGCUGGGAGGGAAUUGUCCUUCAGUGCAGCUUCUGCUCUGCUCCUGAAUCUCAAAUAAGAGAUUUUCAGGGAAAACCAAUAUGAGCAGAGCAUAUUUUCAACCCCCUUCCCAAAAGCUGGGCAUAGUUGUAGGAUACUUUAAGGCAAGGGAGUUAUUACUAGUUAACAUUUGUAGUAUGACUGGAAUAGAGUUUGCACAGUCUCAGUGGGUGAAAGGAAUAUUUUUCACAUAGACUUUACAGAUCCCUGGUUUCAUCUUGUGCAUCAUGCUGCAAAGAUAACAACUGUGCCACACGCUUCUGCAACCCACACUUCUGGUCCUUGAAGUGGAAUUUUUCUCCUUUACACAUAAACCAGAAACUGCUCCGUUGGGGAGGAAGCUCUGUUUAACUUAGAUCUGUUCAUGUUGACCAUACAUGGCUGAGAUGGUUAUUUUGGGGCAGUUUCUAUCUGCUUCUCAUAUGACUGAGAAAGUUCAAACUUUGCCUUGAGGAGAAGGGAAAACUUUGAGAACGUUUUUUUUUUAGUAUUUGAGGAGAAGAUGGCAUGAGCCAAAAUAAAUUUUUAAGCUUGAGCACUUGCUCACAUCUUGGUCCUGAAUUUGAGAAGUGCCCCAUUUAAAAAGUAAAGUAAUAAAAAACCCAACAGAACCAAAACUAAACAGCCCCCUCCCUACAAACAGCCCCACAAAACCCAACCCAAAAUUACUCAGCUUGUUUAAAAUUUAAACUUGCAAGUUUGAUUUUAGGACAGGUGAGCACAGAACACCUUGAGCUGAAAGAGUACAAGACAGAGACAGCUUGAGGUGAGAAGCAAUCUGUGUGUGUCAGAAUUUCAUUUGCUUGCUGGGAAGUGGGACAUCCUGGACAUACUCCAGCCUCCUUAAACUUCAUUUUGAUGGUGGAAAUUCUCUGCAUAUGCUGUGGGAGAUGCUGAAGGACCCUGAAGGGUUCAGUGCUCUGUGUGGUGUGGAAGCACACUGUGUAAAACGUGAGAACUUCCUGCUGUGAUAAGGAGCCAACAGUUCUUCCAACAGGUGCAGUCUUUAGCUGCAGUCCUGAAGAUGUAACAGAAAUGUUUGCUGUCAUGGGCCUCUGGUAUUGUCAAUCUCAAACUGAGUCUGGCCUGAACAGUUCAGAAGGGAGAGCUUUGCUUUUUGCCUUGCACUGCUAUGAUAAGAGAAUUAGGAGGGGAAGCUGUGUUCAAGAAUCUCUAAUCCAUGAUGGUGGCUGUGACUGAAACGAAUAAUCUUAUUUUAAAGGGUGCUCUAUACCACUAAAGCUUUAUAAAUAUUAAUUUUGUUCAUUUGUUUCCUAAUAAAAGGCUUUUAUUCAUUAAA